AUUUUUACCAAAGCAGCGUUUUGCUGUGUCGGAUAGAUUGUAUCUGGCCGCCAGAAGCUCUAGCUCUAUGGGUUCCUGAAGAUCUAGUUCUACACUUUUUCAGUAUUCCUCCUGACUGUGGCCUUUUCUGA
rnacentral:lncRNA from 1 species